GUGCUGAGGAGAGGUGACGGUUGGGACUUGGGAGGAGUAACUCAAGAAAUCUAGUUGCUUUUAACACCCACUUAAAGAAGAAAGAGAUUGAUGGAUGCGUAUCAACCGAUCAAAAGAAGCGGAUCAAGCUUGCAGUUCCUGAAUAAUCCGUUUGAAGACACUACGUAUACGAAGGUGUUCGUUGGAGGACUUGCAUUCUGGGAGAUCAAAAGGAUAUGGAUUUGUAAGUGUUUGUGUUUAUGAGUUAGUUUUGUGAUUAGGUGUUUUUGAUAUAUCAUUCUCCUAGCGCCGGCACUAUGGGGCGCUAUGGUUCAUUCUUGGGUGAUAUACCGCCCCAUUACACAUACUCUUAGUGUUUCUGAGUCAUAUAUACUUCCUUUGUUGCAAUUAUACUAUUGGAAAUGCUUAAAGUAAAAAAUAAUCACAUGCAUAGGUCCACCCAUUAUACUAUUGAUGAAGCUAAUAUAUAAGUUUGUUAUGGAUUACUAUGAUGUUAGCUUAUAUACUAGCUGUGGUAGAAUGUAUUUUAAUGCUUUGAUAGGUUUGUAUGAAUUGUGGAACAUAUUGGAACGUUUGCGGUUGAUUUGAAAGAAGAAAAACGACAACAAUACACGGAUUGAGGUAUUAUACGCAAUCUGCAGAUGAAAUACGCCAUCGGGGUCACUAUAUUCGCGGUUGAUUUGAAAGAGCAAAAAUGGCCCAAAGAGCCUUUGUUAUAACUUGGGCACUAGUUCUUCUUCACUUGUUCGCAAAGCAAAAAUGGCCCAAAGAGCCUUUGUUAUAACUUGGGCACUAGUUCUUCUUUACUUGUUAUAACUUUGAGCCCAACCCUUACCAACCCAUGAAUUUAAUCUUCCUAUACUAAUAAACAAAAAUCUUUUUUGGACA